CAGUAUAAUAUCCUGUUUCCCCAUUCUGGUGCUUGACUUUGGCCGCUGCCCCGUCGGAAAUGGAUUACACUAACCCAGUGUGCAGACCGAAGAUGCAAUAGUCGUGUAUUUCUUCUUGCAUGCAGCACAGUAAACCAUGGUGCUGUUCCACACGGCACCCUAAUAAUAGCAGAGUUCUGUUUUAAAUGGCCGUAUGCGUUGAAGCCGAUAAGAUAAGGAGCCUUUAGAUUGCAAAACCUCAGAUCUAGAGCGUGCCUAAAACAUCAGACAGGACGAUGAGGCUAGAUCGGGAAAAGGGGAACAAUGGAGGAGACCUAACAUGCACACUCAUGGAACUGCAAGAUAAUGUGUCCACUUGAGGUAAGCCAAUGCUGAUGCUUAUACGACGCUGAUUAUGUUGGUGGGUUUUGGAAGAUGUGUGUCCUUUGUGAGUGUCUGCUGUGUCACCGACUCCCCCAGUUUCUAAUCCUUGCUGGAUCACGGGCCCUGAACACAGCCAGCACUGCAGUAAAAUGUGAGUGCCAAGUCACUAGGCAUUCCACUGUCUGCACGUCCCGUCCUGAACACCACGGCACAGACACAAAAACCCACAAACUCACACACAACCAUCGAAAGCAUGUCAAUGUCAAAUUUCAUCCAAAAAUCAAAGAUUCACUAGCUACAGGACCUAUGCAUCACACGUCAUGCAAUACAAAAAGCAAUUCAAGUUCAUGGGCAUAAGAAAAGUUUCUGGGCCAGGACAUCAGCAUCGACUACCAGGGGCCUUUCAGAAAAGAGAUUCAGACAGCUCCAGGUCUAGGCUGGACUUGAGUAAGACAGUCUGGUCUGAUGUGAGGGAAGGGUUGACUGACUGGCUGCCUGUACUCCAGACUGCAGUAGACCCAUUUCCAGCAAGACAUGGCUAUAUAGAGCUUUGAGAUCUUCGGUUACAGUUCAGUCUAACAACAAUACGUAAUCGCAAGCAGGUCCAAAGUAAGGGCGCAUUAAGUCUAGUUCUCAUGUAACAUGACACUAAUGUAAAAUGUGAUCAAAUUGUGUUUUAACGGUGGGAAUGAGUGCAUCUGAUCAACUAUAGAGGUGUGUUUGUCUGGGAAUACAGCAGAAAAGGCAGAGUUGAGGAAAAAUGUGCGCAGCCCCCACAACAACCAGCAAAAUUCAACUAAUGCAUAGAGUUGUGUUUCAAAGCCAUCAUAAGAAUUUACGCGCAUUAUUAUUAUUUUAUUUAAUCGACCAAGUCUUUUAAAUACAGCGAGAACGCAUGCGUUUUUAACAAAUAAAUCACAUUUUUGGGGGAGCUUGACGAAUACUUUAAUACGCCACAGACAAAUUGGGUGUGCAAGUGAGAUACUGACAAAUAACGGUCAAAUAUUUUAAUAAUUCAGCGUGGGAAUGUUAUAUAUAUAUACAUACGUGUAGACGU